rnacentral:lncRNA from 1 species
GGUGCAAGGUUUCUAGUGAGUUUCCUAGAGUUUUAGCCUAGGGUUCAGGAAGUGAGAAAGUGAGCUAUGAGUAUCGUGAGCCCACAAAAUCUCAGGAAGAUCUUCAAUAUCCUCUCAAGCAUGUUUGUUGAUGAUCUGGAGUAUCCAAAGAAUCGACAAACAUCGAUCGAAGGAGUUCGAUCAGCAUCGACCGUCAAAAAAGCUCUA